rnacentral:rRNA from 1 species
AGAAUCAACGCUGGCGGCGUGCCUAACACAUGCAAGUCGCACGAGAAAGGGGAGCAAUCCCUGAGUAAAGUGGCGCACGGGUGAGUAACACGUGAAUCAUCUACCUCCGAGUGGGGAAUAACCUAGAGAAAUCUGGGCUAAUACCGCAUAACACUUACGAGUCAAAGCAGUAAUGCGCUUGGAGAGGAGUUCGCGGCCGAUUAGCUAGUUGGCGGGGUAAUGGCCCACCAAGGCGAUGAUCGGUA